CGUACGCAACCUUCCUUUAACUGGGAGAUAGCCCACCGAAAGGUGGAUUAAUAUCCCAUAGUAUAUUUGAAUGGCAUCAUUUGAAUAUUAAAGCUCCGGCGGUUAAAGAUGGGCGUGCGUCUGAUUAGGUAGUUGGCGGGGUAACGGCCCACCAAGCCGACGAUCAGUAGCUGAUGUGAGAGCAUGAUCAGCCACACGGGCACUGAGACACGGGCCCGACUCCUACGGGAGGCAGCAGUAAGGAAUAUUGGUCAAUGGACGCAAGUCUGAGCCAGCCAUGCCGCGUGGAGGAUGAAGGUCCUCUGGAUUGUAAACUUCUUUUCUUUGGGACGAAACCCCUGUUUCUACGGGGACUGACGGUACCAGAGGAAUAAGCACCGGCUAACUCCGUGCCAGCAGCCGCGGUAAUACGGAGGGUGCAAGCGUUAUCCGGAUUCACUGGGUUUAAAGGGAGCGUAGGUGGACUUUUAAGUCAGUG
rnacentral:rRNA from 1 species